UCCUUCCCUGUUUGGUCCCCUCCACCUCCAUCGCCGGUGCUCCCCGUCGGUGACGCCUUUUUACGUCUAUCUUCCCCGUAUGUCCGCCGCUUUCGUACCGCAAGAUUCGUCUUCUUGGUCAAAAAACGCUUCUUUUCUACUUGGUUUUUGCUCGAUUUGGUGGACUCUUCCACUGCUCGAACAAUGGAGGGGUGAAUGCGGAGGUGGGAAGCUUGAAAUCGUAGCUUCUCCGAAUCGUCCAGGAACACCAAGGGAGAUCCACUUGGAUCAGAGAUCAAACAGGAGAUUGGUGACUUUGGGAGCGGAACGAAGAUAAUAGACUUCGACUGUAAAAGCAUAAACUCUGAUCUCACUCAUAAGACCUACAGAGGCUACAAUCUGUGCCAAGCUGAUGUUCCAGAGUUCCAAUGGUGUGUAUUCUGAAUUAAUGCAGACUUGGACGCUGACUAUUUUGUGACAGAAGUCAACGCAGCUUCAACCCUCCCGAUUCAUCCCGAGCCAUUUUGUAUUAGCUUCAGUUCAAAGAGUAACACAUUACUCCUUUUGAUUGUUGAUGAGAUACGAUGGCAAAGAACCAGAGAAAAUUUACUUGGAGUUUCAUCUAAUAUCAUUUCGUAGGUUGAAGA